GGAAUAUUGGACAAUGGGCGCAAGCCUGAUCCAGCCAUGCCGCGUGUGUGAAGAAGGCCUUCGGGUUGUAAAGCACUUUUGUCCGGAAAGAAAUCCAAUCGAUUAAUACCCGGUUGGGAUCACGGUACCGGAAGAAUAAGCACCGGCUAACUUCGUGCCAGCAGCCGCGGUAAUACGAAGGGUGCAAGCGUUACGCGGAAUUACUGGGCGUAAAGCGUGCGUAGGUGGUUUGUUAAGUCUGAUGUGAAAGCCCUGGGCUCAACCUGGGAACGGCAUUGGAUACUGGCUUACUAGAGUGCGGUAGAGGGUAGUGGAAUUCCCGGUGUAGCAGUGAAAUGCGUAGAUAUCGGGAGGAACAUCUGUGGCGAAGGCGACUACCUGGACCAGCACUGACACUGAGGCACGAAAGCGUGGGGAGCAAACAG
rnacentral:rRNA from 1 species